AGCCAGACUGUUUUUCUUCCUUUCUUCCUUCUGUUGCAGCUCAGCACCAUAUGGGUAAAGAAUUGUUGUCCCCAGGCAGUAGGACAGAAGUGAGAUAGCCUGCGAAGACUCUACAAACCUGUCUGUGAAGGAGAAAGGGAGCCUUGUUAUUCCUGUUGGAAGAAGAAGCUUCAGCUGUGCACCUGGCUGAGAAAAAAAAGCCAACUGAUCCAAAUGGAAGUGAUGUCUGCAAGAGAACAAAGAUGUUUUAAUUUGUAUUGCAGCAGUAGGAAUCCGCCCUCCAUGUCCUGCCCAAAUUCUUUCUUCCAUCACCAUGGAUGGGAUAACUUUUGUCAUCCUCUUCCAAAGGUAUGUAUAACUGAGAUCCAAGGCACUUUGAGAUUAAAUGGCAGUAUGUGCAUAUAUUUUGUCUAUACACAUACAUCACACACACAUACAAGAAUCAAAGUAAUAGUAAUAGUAUUACAGUUUCCAUUGAAACUGUGGCAGAGGGAUUACAAUGUUCAUCUCAUCCCCUCCCUUUGUUUCAAUAUACUUUCAUUUCUGUUUCCGUUUUAUACAGUGAGGGACAGUCUGUGCACUGAUGAAUUAAGGCAGACAGUGAGGCUGUGGGAGGCAUGUGUCAGGAAGAGCACAUCGUCAUCUGUGUUACAGCCUCUGAGACCCCAGCUGAGGAACAGAUGCAUACAUGUUCUUAACCUUACCUCAAUGAUCUGUUUAAGCUUCACUGUGCAAAUUAUAUU
rnacentral:lncRNA from 1 species